CUUCAGAGAAAUAAUUUAGUACAAUGCAUACAUUAAUAUACAAAACAUGAUUAUUCUGUCUACUGCCAAAAAAUAAAGUCACAGUGCUGCCUGAAUUAAACACCAAUAAUCUGUAUGUUUUAUGAUUACACAUUUUAUGGGUCAUCGAUAGUCCUCUGUCUGAAAACUCUCGUCCUAAGCAAAGGUGAAAUAUUUAAAUUCCAC